GCGGGCGCGUGCUAUAAUGCAGUCGAGCGGACAGAUGGGAGCUUGCUCCCUGAUGUUAGCGGCGGACGGGUGAGUAACACGUGGGUAACCUGCCUGUAAGACUGGGAUAACUCCGGGAAACCGGGGCUAAUACCGGAUGGUUGUUUGAACCGCAUGGUUCAGACAUAAAAGGUGGCUUCGGCUACCACUUACAGAUGGACCCGCGGCGCAUUAGCUAGUUGGUGAGGUAACGGCUCACCAAGGCGACGAUGCGUAGCCGACCUGAGAGGGUGAUCGGCCACACUGGGACUGAGACACGGCCCAGACUCCUACGGGAGGCAGCAGUAGGGAAUCUUCCGCAAUGGACGAAAGUCUGACGGAGCAACGCCGCGUGAGUGAUGAAGGUUUUCGGAUCGUAAAGCUCUGUUGUUAGGGAAGAACAAGUGCCGUUCAAAUAGGGCGGCACCUUGACGGUACCUAACCAGAAAGCCACGGCUAACUACGUGCCAGCAGCCGCGGUAAUACGUAGGUGGCAAGCGUUGUCCGGAAUUAUUGGGCGUAAAGGGCUCGCAGGCGGUUUCUUAAGUCUGAUGUGAAAGCCCCCGGCUCAACCGGGGAGGGUCAUUGGAAACUGGGGAACUUGAGUGCAGAAGAGGAGAGUGGAAUUCCACGUGUAGCGGUGAAAUGCGUAGAGAUGUGGAGGAACACCAGUGGCGAAGGCGACUCUCUGGUCUGUAACUGACGCUGAGGAGCGAAAGCGUGGGGAGCGAACAGGAUUAGAUACCCUGGUAGUCCACGCCGUAAACGAUGAGUGCUAAGUGUUAGGGGUUUCCGCCCCUUAGUGCUGCAGCUAACGCAUUAAGCACUCCGCCUGGGGAGUACGGUCGCAAGACUGAAACUCAAAGGAAUUGACGGGGGCCCGCACAAGCGGUGGAGCAUGUGGUUUAAUUCGAAGCAACGCGAAGAACCUUACCAGGUCUUGACAUCCUCUGACAAUCCUAGAGAUAGGACGUCCCCUUCGGGGGCAGAGUGACAGGUGGUGCAUGGUUUGUCGUCAGCUCGUGU
rnacentral:rRNA from 1 species